rnacentral:rRNA from 1 species
UACAGAGGUCCCGAGCGUUGUUCGGAUUCAUUGGGCGUAAAGGGUGCGUAGGCGGCGCGGUAAGUCGGGUGUGAAAUCUCGGAGCUUAACUCCGUAACAGCAUUCGAUACUGCCGUGCUUGAGGACUGGAGAGGAGACUGGAAUUUACGGUGUAGCGGUGAAAUGCGUAGAUAUCGUAAGGAAGACCAGUGGCGAAGGCGGGUCUCUGGACAGUUCCUGACGCUGAGGCACGAAGGUCAGGGGAGCAAACGGG